CCUUACCUUGGCUCCUUUCCGCACUCACAUAACAGGUAGUCAGCCUGCCACGCAGUGUCCUCCUGGAGUGCAAUGUAAGCGGCCAGAAUGGGUGUUAAAAAAAACGCUGAUUGCCGAUUGUUAUGAAAACUUGAAAUCGGCCCUAAUUAAAAAUCGGCCAUUCCGAUUAAUCAGUCGACCUCUAGUUGGCACUGUAUGAGGUAGUACGGUAAAAACAGGGGUUGGCGCUGUAUGAGGUAGUACGGUAAAAACAGGGGUUGGCGCUGUAUGAGGUAGUACGAUAAAAACAGGGGUUGGCGCUGUAUGAGGUAGUACGAUAAAAACAGGGGUUGGCGCUGUAUGAGGUAGUACGAUAAAAACAGGGGUUGGCGCUGUAUGAGGUAGUACGAUAAAAACAGGGGUUGGCGCUGUAUGAGGUAGUAUGAUAAAAACAGGGGUUGGCGCUGUAUGAGGUAGUAUGAUAAAAACAGGGGUUGGCGCUGUAUGAGGUAGUAUGAUAAAAACAGGGGUUGGCGCUGUAUGAGGUAGUAUGAUAAAAACAGGGGUUGGCGCUGUAUGAGGUAGUAUGAUAAAAACAGGGGUUGGCGCUGUAUGAGGUAGUAUGAUAAAAACAGGGGUUGGCGCUGUAUGAGGUAGUAUGAUAAAAACAGGGGUUGGUGCUGUAUGAGGUAGUAUGAUAAAAACAGGGGUUGGUGCUGUAUGAGGUAGUAUGAUAAAAACAGGGGUUGGUGCUGUAUGAGGUAGUAUGAUAAAAACAGGGGUUGGUGCUGUAUGAGGUAGUAUGAUAAAAACAGGGGUUGGUGCUGUAUGAGGUAGUAUGAUAAAAACAGGGGUUGGUGCUGUAUGAGGUAGUAUGAUAAAAACAGGGGUUGGUGCUGUAUGAGGUAGUAUGAUAAAAACAGGGGUUGGUGCUGUAUGAGGUAGUAUGAUAAAAACAGGGGUUGGUGCUGUAUGAGGUAGUAUGAUAAAAACAGGGGUUGGUGCUGUAUGAGGUAGUAUGAUAGAAGUGUGUCCAAACAACAAGAACCA